UCGUCUUAGCUGAGUAGUUACCGCAACAGAAUUGAAAUCUGUUUCUCUUCGACUGCGCAGGUUCAAAACCUGCCGCAUGAC